CGCGGAGUGGAGCAGUUGGCAGCUCGUCGGGCCCAUAACCCGAAGGUCGUAGGCUCAAGUCCUGCCUCCGCAACCA
rnacentral:tRNA from 1 species